rnacentral:rRNA from 1 species
GUGGGGAAUAUUGGACAAUGGGGGCAACCCUGAUCCAGCAAUGCCGCGUGUGUGAAGAAGGCCUGAGGGUUGUAAAGCACUUUCAGUGGGGAGGAGGAUUGACAGGUUAAGAGUUAGUUAAUUGGACGUUACCCGCAGAAGAAGCACCGGCUAACUCCGUGCCAGCAGCCGCGGUAAUACGGAGGGUGCAAGCGUUAAUCGGAAUUACUGGGCGUAAAGGGUGCGUAGGUGGUUGUAUAAGUUAACUGUGAAAUCCCCGGGCUCAACCUGGGCAGGUCAGUUAAGACUGUAUGACUCGAGUAUGGGAGAGGGUAGUGGAAUUUCCGGUGUAGCGGUGAAAUGCGUAGAGAUCGGAAGGAACACCAGUGGCGAAGGCGGCUACCUGGCCCAAUACUGACACUGAGGCACGAAAGCGUGGGGAGCAAACAGGAUUAGAAACCCGGGUAGUCC